AUUGAACGCUGGCGGCAGGCCUAACACAUGCAAGUCGAACGAGUGGCGGACGGGUUAGUAAUUUCUGGGCAACUGCCCGACGGAGGGGGAUAACUACUGUAAACGGUAGCUAAUACCGCAUACCAUCAGAUGUGCCCAGAGGGGAUUAGCUGGUCGGUGGGGUAACGGCUCACCUAGGCGACGAUCCCUAGCUGAUCUGAGAGGAUGACCAGCCACACUGGAACUGAGACACGGUCCAGACUCCUACGGGAGGCAGCAGUAGGGAAUAUUGGACAAUGGACGAAAGUCUGAUGGAGCAAUGCCGCGUGUGUGAAGAAGGCCUUCGGGUUGUAAAGCACUGUCGGCGGGGAGGCGGUACCCAAAGAAGAAGCAACGGCUAACUACGUGCCAGCCGCCGCGGUAAUAC
rnacentral:rRNA from 1 species